rnacentral:rRNA from 1 species
GACGAACGCUGGCGGCGUGCUUAACACAUGCAAGUCGAACGGAAAGGCACUGCUAUCGUGGGGUGAUCGAGUGGCGAUCGGGUGAGUAACACGUGAGUAACCUGAUCUAGUUUUUGGGAUAACUUAAGGAAACUGGGGCUAAUCUCGGAUAGGAGCCCACGCUGCAUGGUGGGGGUUGGAUAGUUUCGGCGGUUGGGGAUGGACUCGCGGCUUAUCAGCUUGUUGGUGGGGUAGUGGCUUACCAAGGCUUUGGCGGGUAGGCGGCUUGGGAGGGUGACCGGCCACAUUGGGACUGAGAUACGGCCCAGACGGCUACGGGGGACAACAGUGGGGAAUAUUGCACAGUGGGCGGAAGCCUGUUGCAGCAACGCCGCGUGCGGAAUGACGGCCUUUGGGGUAUAAACCGCUUUCGCCUGUUACGAAGCGUGAGUGACGGUAAUGGGUAAAGAAGCACCGGCUAACUACGUG